CACGUAGGGCGCGAGCGUUGUCCGGAAUUAUUGGGCGUAAAGAGCUCGUAGGCGGUUUGUCGCGUCUGCUGUGAAAACUCGGGGCUUAACUCCGGGCCUGCAGUGGGUACGGGCAGACUAGAGUGCGGUAGGGGAGACUGGAAUUCCUGGUGUAGCGGUGAAAUGCGCAGAUAUCAGGAGGAACACCGGUGGCGAAGGCGGGUCUCUGGGCCGUAACUGACGCUGAGGAGCGAAAGCGUGGGGAGCGAACAGG
rnacentral:rRNA from 1 species